rnacentral:rRNA from 1 species
GGAUGCGAUCAUACUAGCACUAAAGCAUCGGAUCCCAUCAGAACUUCGAAGAACUUCGAAGUUAAGCGUGCUUGGGCAAGAGUAGUACUAGGAUGGGUGACCUCCUGGGAAGUCCUCGUGUUGCAUUCC